UGCCCGAUGACGCCUGAGAUAGGCACAGGCUCCCCGUGACCCGAGGUAGUUCGGAUAAGCGGUAGAAGAUGAAUGAGUGAGAGUGAGCAUGUCAAUAAUUACACAACAGUUUGCUAUGAUAAAAAAAUUAUUAAAAAGAAACUUUUAUUGUUACAGUUGAUCGUUCCUGUCGUCCGCCUCUGACCCUGGAGACUCGUUACAUAUUCCAGCACUUGGGACACGCCCUUAUCCAGAGCAGCAGAAUUGUUGCCUGUACAGCUCUCAUAUAUUCGACCUCGGUAGAACAAUGCGUCGGCCUCCGACUCUGGCGUCAGGUGGCCUCACGCUCACAGCUUCUUCGACUCUUCCUCUGUAAGGAGAUGUAGCUGUAAUUGGCAGCGUGAUUGCCUGCCUGCUCUCACAAUAUCCACAUCACCUCAUGUGAAAGCCCCCAUUGUUGUGCCGUUAAGCUGAAAUCUCUGCAAUAUGACUGCGAUCAAAGCUCCAUUCAGGAGCAUGUCGCCCGCUGGCCACAGCUCACUUCCUGUCCUGUCUCUCCUCCAGAAAACGCCUCCUCGCUGACUGCCAGGGUAAAGGAUGCUUUAGGAUGAGGUCACGAUAUUAGGACCCGGGACACGACGGAAGUCCUGCGUGAGACGCCUUUAACUCCAGCACCCGGGGCUCAACAGAUCGACACACAAUCAACACAACGACAUACAGGAGUUUAAGACUGAAUUACACACAAAGUUAAUCUUGUAAAUUAUUUUAUUAUCUGUUAACAAAAUAAAGGGACAUUAUUUUGAA